AUUGCAGACGAUUUUUUUCCCCAGUAGACUUGUUUUCAUUACCAAAUCAGACAUGCAGGUUCUGCUACGCACCGGUUGCCAAACGCUUCUCAGAUUUUCACUCUCAAGCGUCAAGCCCAUAGCCGUAUGCCUUUCGAGAACUUUGGUCUCAAGUUGCAGAGCAGAUGAAAGCAAUGGAAACAGAAGCCGAGCUCUGGGAAGAUCCUUGAGUCGGCGUUCGUUGCCUUCUCCAUAUGCGGCAAUGUGAUCAUUCUGCCUCAACCCAAGCUGCUUAGAGAUUGUUUCGCAUCUCCAUCAAAGAUGAACCCUUGUAUUGAUGGUGCCAGUUUUUGAUAUUCACAGUCAAUAAAGUUCUUUUCUUUUUCUCUAUGAAGAUUGAGUUUGAUUCUUCAUACAGGUAUGCUUGGUUACCUUUAUUUCUAGAAUUUGUACUUUAUAUUUAGGCCACAAGUUCGCAUGAUGGUGGUUAUUUUGCCACCCUUAGAGAAUUGCUCAAUUUGUUUUUCCAGAAUUAAACCGGCAAUUCCACUUUGUUACUGUUGUUAAAUGAGCAAGAAAUCCUUGUUUAGAUUUAAAAUUUGACCAAUAAGAUGGCUGUGGGUUUUCUAUCAUA